AACUUUCGACAACGGAUCUCUUGGUUCUGGCAUCGAUGAAGAACGCAGCGAAAUGCGAUAAGUAAUGUGAAUUGCAGAAUUCAGUGAAUCUUCGAAUCUUUGAACGCACAUUGCGCCCUUUGGCAUUCCGAAGGGCAUGCCCGUUCGAGCGUCAUUAAAUUCAAUCAAGCUCGGCUUGGUAUUGGGCACCCGGGGCUCCCCGCGCCUUAAUUUCACCGGCUGGCUGUCGCCUGUCUUAGCGUUGUGACACACUUCUCGCUAGGGAUAGACGCCGACCAGCCGUCAAACACCCCCGAAUCUCUUAACGGAGAUUCGAUUAAAGUUGACCUCGGAUCGGGUAGGAAUACCCGCUGAACUUAAGCAUAUCAAUAAGCGGAGGCU
rnacentral:misc_RNA from 1 species